GGGGGUGUAGCUCAGAAGUAGAGCAUUCGACCACAGAUCGAGAGGUCCCCGGUUCGAAUCCGGGUGCCCCUU
rnacentral:tRNA from 1 species